GAUGAACGCUGGCGGCGUGCCUAAUACAUGCAAGUCGAGCGAACAGACGAGGAGCUUGCUCCUCUGACGUUAGCGGCGGACGGGUGAGUAACACGUGGAUAACCUACCUAUAAGACUGGGAUAACUUCGGGAAACCGGAGCUAAUACCGGAUAAUAUAUUGAACCGCAUGGUUCAAUAGUGAAAGACGGUUUUGCUGUCACUUAUAGAUGGAUCCGCGCCGCAUUAGCUAGUUGGUAAGGUAACGGCUUACCAAGGCGACGAUGCGUAGCCGACCUGAGAGGGUGAUCGGCCACACUGGAACUGAGACACGGUCCAGACUCCAACGGGAGGCAGCAGUAGGGAAUCUUCCGCAAAGGGCGAAAGCCUGACGGAGCAACGCCGCGUGAGUGAUGAAGGUCUUCGGAUCGUAAAACUCUGUUAUUAGGGAAGAACAAAUGUGUAAGUAACUAUGCACGUCUUGACGGUACCUAAUCAGAAAGCCACGGCUAACUACGUG
rnacentral:rRNA from 1 species